UUGCCCAGGAUCACCCAGUGAACUUCAUGGUUGAGUCAGGACUCGAACCCAGGUCUGAGCGGCCCGGGUUCGAGUCCUGCUUAACCAUGAAGUUCACUGGGUGAUCCUUGG
rnacentral:miRNA from 1 species